rnacentral:rRNA from 1 species
GACGAACGCUGGCGGCGUGCUUAACACAUGCAAGUCGAACGGAAAGGCCCUGCUUUUGUGGGGUGCUCGAGUGGCGAACGGGUGAGUAACACGUGAGUAACCUGCCCUUGACUUUGGGAUAACUUCAGGAAACUGGGGCUAAUACCGGAUAGGAGCUCCUGCUGCAUGGUGGGGGUUGGAAAGUUCCGGCGGUUGGGGAUGGACUCGCGGCUUAUCAGCUUGUUGGUGGGGUAGUGGCUUACCAAGGCUUUGACGGGUAGCCGGCCUGAGAGGGUGACCGGCCACAUUGGGACUGAGAUACGGCCCAGACUCCUACGGGAGGCAGCAGUGGGGAAUAUUGCACAAUGGGCGGAAGCCUGAUGCAGCAACGCCGCGUGCGGGAUGACGGCCUUCGGGUUGUAAACCGCUUUCGCCUGUGACGAAGCGUGAGUGACGGUAAUGGGUAAAGAAGCACCGGCUAACUACGUGCCAGCAGCCGCGGUGAUACGUAGGGUGCGAGCGUUGUCCGGAUUUAUUGGGCGUAAAGGGCUCGUAGGUGGUUGAUCGCGUCGGAAGUGUAAUCUUGGGGCUUAACCCUGAGCGUGCUUUCGAUACGGGUUGACUUGAGGAAGGUAGGGGAGAAUGGAAUUCCUGGUGGAGCGGUGGAAUGCGCAGAUAUCAGGAGGAACACCAGUGGCGAAGGCGGUUCUCUGGGCCUUCCCUGACGCUGAGGAGCGAAAGCGUGGGGAGCGAACAGGCUUAGAUACCCUGGUAGUCCACGCUGUAAACGGUGGGUACUAGGUGUGGGGUCCAUUCCACGGGUUCCGUGCCGUAGCUAACGCUUUAAGUACCCCGCCUGGGGAGUACGGCCGCAAGGCUAAAACUCAAAGGAAUUGACGGGGCCCCGCACAAGCGGCGGAGCAUGCGGAUUAAUUCGAUGCAACGCGUAGAACCUUACCUGGGUUUGACAUGGAUCGGGAGUGCUCAGAGAUGGGUGUGCCUCUUUUGGGGUCGGUUCACAGGUGGUGCAUGGCUGACGUCAGCUCGUGUCGUGAGAUGUUGGGUUAAGUCCCGCAACGAGCGCAACCCUUGUUCACUGUUGCCAGCACGUUAUGGUGGGGACUCAGUGGAGACCGCCGGGGUCAACUCGGAGGAAGGUGGGGAUGACGUCAAGUCAUCAUGCCCCUUAUGUCCAGGGCUUCACGCAUGCUACAAUGGCUGGUACAGAGAGUGGCGAGCCUGUGAGGGUGAGCGAAUCUCGGAAAGCCGGUCUCAGUUCGGAUUGGGGUCUGCAACUCGACCUCAUGAAGUCGGAGUCGCUAGUAAUCGCAGAUCAGCAACGCUGCGGUGAAUACGUUCCCGGGGCU